rnacentral:snRNA from 1 species
GCUAUUGCCGGGAAUGCAUGUGUACUAAAAUUGGAAUAGUACAGAGGAGAUGAGCACGCUCCCUGCACAAGGAAGAUACGAAAAUUCAUGAAGUGUUAAAAAAAGAA